rnacentral:rRNA from 1 species
UACGUAGGGGGCAAGCGUUGUCCGGAUUUAUUGGGCGUAAAGAGCGUGUAGGCGGCUGGGUAGGUCCGUUGUGAAAACUCGAGGCUCAACCUCGAGACGUCGGCGGAAACCCUCUGGCUAGAGUCCGGAAGAGGAGAGUGGAAUUCCUGGUGUAGCGGUGAAAUGCGCAGAUAUCAGGAGGAACACCGGUGGCGAAGGCGGGUCUCUGGGCCGAUACUGACGCUGAGGAGCGAAAGCGUGGGGAGCGAACAGG